rnacentral:rRNA from 1 species
CCUACGGGAGUCUGCAGUAGGGAAUUUUGCUCAAUGGGCGAAAGCCUGAAGCAGCAACGCCGCGUGAACGAUACAGGUUUUCGGAUUGUAAGCUCCGUUUGUUAGAACGAAAAAUGACGGUACCUACCGAAUAAGCACCGGCUAACUCCGUGCCAGCAGCCGCGGUAAUACGGAGGGUGCAAGCGUUAUUCGGAAUCAUUGGGCGUAAAGAGCUCGUAGGCGGGAUUGCAAGUCAGAUGUGAAAUGCUAAGGCUUAACCGGUGUACUGCAUUUGAGACUUGUAAUCUGGAAUAUGGUAGAGGUAAGGGGAAUUCUUGGUGUAGCGGUAAAAUCCGUAGAGAUCAGGAGGAAUA